rnacentral:rRNA from 1 species
AGAUUGAACGCUGGCGGCAUGCCCUACACAUGCAAGUCGAACGGCAGCACGGGAGCAAUCCUGGUGGCGAGUGGCGAACGGGUGAGUAAUAUAUCGGAACGUGCCCAGUCGUGGGGGAUAACGCAGCGAAAGCUGUGCUAAUACCGCAUACGAUCUAUGGAUGAAAGCGGGGGGUCGCAAGACCUCGCGCGAUUGGAGCGGCCGAUAUCAGAUUAGCUAGUUGGUGGGGUAAAAGCCGUACCAAGGCGACGAUCUGUAGCUGGUCUGAGAGGACGACCAGCCACACUGGAACUGAGACACGGUCCAGACUCCUAACGGGAGACAGCAGGUGGGGAAUUUUGGAACAAGUGGGCGCGAAGCCUAGGACUCCAG